rnacentral:rRNA from 1 species
AUUGAACGCUGGCGGCAGGCCUAACACAUGCAAGUCGAGCGGAUGAAGGGAGCUUGCUCCUGAAUUCAGCGGCGGACGGGUGAGUAAUGCCUAGGAAUCUGCCUGGUAGUGGGGGAUAACGUCCGGAAACGGGCGCUAAUACCGCAUACGUCCUGAGGGAGAAAGUGGGGGAUCUUCGGACCUCACGCUAUCAGAUGAGCCUAGGUCGGAUUAGCUAGUUGGUGGGGUAAAGGCCUACCAAGGCGACGAUCCGUAACUGGUCUGAGAGGAUGAUCAGUCACACUGGAACUGAGACACGGUCCAGACUCCUACGGGAGGCAGCAGUGGGGAAUAUUGGACAAUGGGCGAAAGCCUGAUCCAGCCAUGCCGCGUGUGUGAAGAAGGUCUUCGGAUUGUAAAGCACUUUAAGUUGGGAGGAAGGGCAGUAAGUUAAUACCUUGCUGUUUGGACGUUACCAACAGAAUAAGCACCGGCUAACUUCGUG